rnacentral:rRNA from 1 species
GAUGAACGCUGGCGGCGUGCCUAAUACAUGCAAGUCGAGCGAAUGGAUUAAGAGCUUGCUCUUAUGAAGUUAGCGGCGGACGGGUGAGUAACACGUGGGUAACCUGCCCAUAAGACUGGGAUAACUCUGGGAAACCGGGGCUAAUACCGGAUAACAUUUUGAACCGCAUGGUUCGAAAUUGAAAGGCGGCUUCGGCUGUCACUUAUGGAUGGACCCGCGUCGCAUUAGCUCGUUGGUGAGGUAACGGUUCACCAAGGCAACGGUGCGUAGCCGACCUGAGAGGGUGAUCGGCCACACUGGGACUGAGACACGGCCCAGACUCCUACGGGAGGCAGCAGUAGGGAAUCUUCCGCAAUGGACGAAAGUCUGGCGGAGCAACGCCGCGUGAGUGAUGAAGGCUUUCGGGUCGUAAAACUCUGUUGUUAGGGAAGAACAAGUGCUAGUUGAAUAAGCUGGCACCUUGACGGUACCUAACCAGAAAGCCACGGCUAACUACGUGCCAGCCGCCGCCGUAA